AGUGAACGCUGGCGGUAGGCCUAAUACAUGCAAGUCGAACGGAAGCACAGUAAGAGCGUGCUCCUACGGGUGGCGGGGGGCGGGCGAGUGAGACAUAGAUAGGCUACUUCUUUUUCGGGGGGGAUAUCGGGGAGAAGCUGACGAUAAUACCUCAUACGAUCAACGGGAGGAAGCAAGAGAUCUUGGCACCUUGGCCGACACAUAGAGCCGAUGUCGCAUUAGCUAGUUGGCGGGGUAACGGCCCACCAAGGCAACGAUCCGUAGCUGGUCUGAGAGGAUGAUCAGCCACACUGGAACUGAGACACGGUCCAGACUCCUACGGGAGGCAGCAGUGGGGAAUCUUGCGCAAUGGGCGCAAGCCUGAUCGAGCCAUACCGCGUGAGUGAAGAAGGCCUUCGGGUUGUAAAGCCCUUUUGUUGGGAAAGAAAAGCAGCAUGUUAAUACCCCGCUGUUCUGACGGUACCCAAAGAGUAAGCACCGGCUAACUUCGUG
rnacentral:rRNA from 1 species